GGUUGCAGCGCCGGGCUCGGCACCCUUAGGACCCUUCGGUGCCUCCCGCAGCACUUUGCGUUGUCAUUUCGACAGCCGCGCCCCCCCCCGUGUGCUUGGCAGCCCCCGCGGAGGGCCAGUUCCUGCCGAGCGUGCGAGCUGCACUUUCAGAGACUUGUUAACGUUUUCUGUACGUGGCACUGACUUGUGCCCAUCAGAGACCCCACGUUCUGGCACGAUGCAGACGGAACCCAGGAGCUCCGACUGCCGCAUGGCGCCGGGCUGCCCGCUUGGAACCUUCCUCACCGAUGCCAGUGCCACAAGCCUUAGUCAGCCCGCUGCGUCCGGUAGCAGUAAGGUUAUCAGCCAAGCGGUGGCUCCCAGGUGGCAGAGGUCAGCCUUUUUAAAUCAAUCCCAGUGGAGGUUUCUCGAUCCAGGCACUGCCUCUUUCUCCUGUACAGAUCAGAGACAGCGGGAAGGCUGGGCAUGGAAACUGCACUGCUCCUGCCUGCGUGGCAGUGAGUCCAGAAGGACUGACCUCAUUAGGGCACUGGUCGGCACCUGCACAAUAUAAUGAUGGUUCGUUAUUUCAGUUCAACUUCUUCACUGUGAGGGUGGUGGGACACUGGCCCAGGCUGCCCAGAGCAGCUGUGGGUGCCCCAUCCCUGGCAGUGCCCAAGGCCAGGCUGGAUGGGGCUGGGGGCAGCCUGGGCUGCUGGGAGGGGUCCCUGCCCAUUGUGGGGGGGUGGAAUGAGGUGGUCUUGAAGGUCCCUUCCAACCCAAACCGUUCUGUGAUUCCAUGAACUGCUGUUAUUACAUGUACAGAAAAGUAAUGACAGUAUUUACAGCAGGUUUCAGGUUAUGUACUAAACUGCAUAAACAUGAAAAAGAGCAAAAAAUGAAGAUAAUAAAGUCCUAAUAAUGUGA